rnacentral:tRNA from 1 species
GGUUGUAGCUCAGUGGUAGAGCACUUGCCUAGUAUGCGUGAGGCACUGGGUUCGAUCCCUGGCACCA